rnacentral:ncRNA from 1 species
UGGGAGCCGAUGGCGUUGUGAUAUCAUAAUGCAGAUCGUGCUGAGAGUGGGCUUAAAGCCCAGACCGUUAUUACCUGAUUCGGAUAAUGCCGGCGUAGGGAGAAAGAAAA